UACGUAGGGUGCGAGCGUUAAUCGGAAUUACUGGGCGUAAAGCGUGCGCAGGCGGUUUGUUGAGUCUGCUGUGAAAUCCCCGGGCUCAACCUGGGAAUGGCAGUGGAAACUGUCGAGCUUGAGUGUGGCAGAGGGGGGUGGAAUUCCGCGUGUAGCAGUGAAAUGCGUAGAGAUGCGGAGGAACACCGAUGGCGAAGGCAGCCCCCUGGGCUGACACUGACGCUCAGGCACGAAAGCGUGGGGAGCAAACAGG
rnacentral:rRNA from 1 species